AGUGAACGCUGGCGGCAGGCCUAACACAUGCAAGUCGAACGGCAGCACGGCAGUAGCAAUACUGUGGGUGGCGAGUGGCGGACGGGUGAGGAAUACAUCGGGAUCUACCCUGUUGUGGGGGAUAACGUAGGGAAACUUACGCUAAUACCGCAUAAGAACUGAGGUUGAAAGCGGCGGACCGCAAGGCGUCGCGCGAUUGGAUGAACCGAUGUCCGAUUAGCUAGUUGGCGGGGUAAAGGCCCACCAAGGCGACGAUCGGUAGCUGGUCUGAGAGGACGACCAGCCACACUGGAACUGAGACACGGUCCAGACUCCUACGGGAGGCAGCAGUGGGGAAUAUUGGACAAUGGGGGCAACCCUGAUCCAGCCAUUCCGCGUGAGUGAAGAAGGCCUUCGGGUUGGUUAAAGCGUACUUUCAGCUGGAACGAAACGGU
rnacentral:rRNA from 1 species